rnacentral:rRNA from 1 species
UACAGAGGUUGCGAGCGUUAAUCGGAAUCACUGGGCUUAAAGGGCGCGUAGGCGGGUUCUCAAGUCCGGGGUGAAAUCCCACAGCUCAACUGUGGAACUGCCUCGGAUACUGGGUGCCUCGAGGGUGGUAGGGGUAUGCGGAACUAUCGGUGGAGCGGUGAAAUGCGUUGAUAUCGAUAGGAACUCCGGUGGCGAAGGCGGCAUACUGGACCACAUCUGACGCUGAGGCGCGAAAGCCAGGGGAGCGAACGGG